GCUUUGUUCAUGUUCAGGCGAUUUCUUCAUAAUUUAAGUAGAGAAAGUUUAUCUUCAGGAGCGUUUGGUUUUCUGCAUGUGCACUUCCUCCUCUGAUGACACACUUAUAGAAACAUGACAGUAUCAGAGGAAAUGGUGCGUACACAUGAAGUUUUCUCUUGCACUGGUUGUUGCUGUUACUCGUGUUUUGAAUUACAACCAUUACAACCCUCCAUUAUCAAAAUGUAUUAUAUGCACUAUUUAGUUCUGAUAGUUAGUCUGUUUGACUGG